rnacentral:rRNA from 1 species
AUGGUUACUGAUGUUGGCGCCACCGUCCGGCUCAAGUUCGUACGCCGCCCAAGGACAGGAGGGAAGCAUGAAUCUCAAGGGCACAACAGCCGAAGCUCCAUCCAGGAUAAAAUCCAUGUUAGCAUUCGAGCUAGUCUGUCGUGGGGUGUCGUGGACGAUCAACUCACAUCGCCUGGAAGCUUCCAAAAUAGAACAGAUUAUGCAUGUCUCAGCAACCACAGUGGAGAAGCACCGCAAAUUUCAGCAUCACCCUACUACUUUUAUAAUUACUUUUAUAAUUGUCAGUGCGACAAUGGUUACCAAGGCAAUGCCUACAUAGCCGAUGGCUGCUCACGCGACAAAGGGUACAGACAAUUACAACAGAAGACUAACUGCUCUAGAUGGUGCGGGAACAUAAGUAUUCCGUUCCCUUUCGGCCUAGGACGCAGGUGUUCUGCAAGGAUGUCGUUCCAGCUAAAAUGUGCAAAUUCAACGACGUCCACACUAAAUUUCUAUGCACCGAGCUUCACGGAAAAGCAUAUUGAAUACAUAAAUAUCAACGAGGGGCUAGUUGGUAUUACGGCCUCAACCUAUACUGAAGGUCAAACUACUUUCAUUGUAAGAGAGGACCCUGCGCUCUACAUUGGCUUAGGGAUAUCAACAUCUUUCCGAUGGGCCGUCGCCAAUUUAACAUGCCAGGAAGCUCAAGAGGACUUAACAAGAUAUGCAUGUGUUAGUACUAAUAGCACAUGUUUGAUUGUCAACUCGAGACAAGGAUACCCUGCCGGUUACCGUUGCAAAUGUAUGGCUGGCUAUGAGGGGAAUCCAUAUAUCACAACCGGGUGUCAAGGUGUGCAUGCUCACUCUAUUACCUCUUGGUCCUGGAAGAUAAGAUGCAACAAUUUUGCAGUGUUAAUUAAUAUGGUCUUUUUGGUUUGUACAAAUAAGGUAGAAAAUAAUUUUGACAUUAAAUCAUGUGUUACACUACGAAAUAUACCAUGCAUUGUGCUAAUUUUUGAUUUUCCAUGUUUCGUUGUUCCUACAUAA